GAUGAACGCUGGCGGCGUGCCUAAUACAUGCAAGUCGAGCGAACGGACGAGAAGCUUGCUUCUCUGAUGUUAGCGGCGGACGGGUGAGUAACACGUGGAUAACCUACCUAUAAGACUGGGAUAACUUCGGGAAACCGGAGCUAAUACCGGAUAAUAUUUUGAACCGCAUGGUUCAAAAGUGAAAGACGGUCUUGCUGUCACUUAUAGAUGGAUCCGCGCUGCAUUAGCUAGUUGGUAAGGUAACGGCUUACCAAGGCAACGAUGCAUAGCCGACCUGAGAGGGUGAUCGGCCACACUGGAACUGAGACACGGUCCAGACUCCUACGGGAGGCAGCAGUAGGGAAUCUUCCGCAAUGGGCGAAAGCCUGACGGAGCAACGCCGCGUGAGUGAUGAAGGUCUUCGGAUCGUAAAACUCUGUUAUUAGGGAAGAACAUAUGUGUAAGUAACUGUGCACAUCUUGACGGUACCUAAUCAGAAAGCCACGGCUAACUACGUGCCAGCAGCCGCAGUAAUACGUAGGUGGCAAGCGUUAUCCGGAAUUAUUGGGCGUAAAGCGCGCGUAGGCGGUUUUUUAAGUCUGAUGUGAAAGCCCACGGCUCAACCGUGGAGGGUCAUUGGAAACUGGAAAACUUGAGUGCAGAAGAGGAAAGUGGAAUUCCAUGUGUAGCGGUGAAAUGCGCAGAGAUAUGGAGGAACACCAGUGGCGAAGGCGACUUUCUGGUCUGUAACUGACGCUGAUGUGCGAAAGCGUGGGGAUCAAACAGGAUUAGAUACCCUGGUAGUCCACGCCGUAAACGAUGAGUGCUAAGUGUUAGGGGGUUUCCGCCCCUUAGUGCUGCAGCUAACGCAUUAAGCACUCCGCCUGGGGAGUACGACCGCAAGGUUGAAACUCAAAGGAAUUGACGGGGACCCGCACAAGCGGUGGAGCAUGUGGUUUAAUUCGAAGCAACGCGAAGAACCUUACCAAAUCUUGACAUCCUUUGACAACUCUAGAGAUAGAGCCUUCCCCUUCGGGGGACAAAGUGACAGGUGGUGCAUGGUUGUCGUCAGCUCGUGUCGUGAGAUGUUGGGUUAAGUCCCGCAACGAGCGCAACCCUUAAGCUUAGUUGCCAUCAUUAAGUUGGGCACUCUAAGUUGACUGCCGGUGACAAACCGGAGGAAGGUGGGGAUGACGUCAAAUCAUCAUGCCCCUUAUGAUUUGGGCUACACACGUGCUACAAUGGACAAUACAAAGGGCAGCGAAACCGCGAGGUCAAGCAAAUCCCAUAAAGUUGUUCUCAGUUCGGAUUGUAGUCUGCAACUCGACUACAUGAAGCUGGAAUCGCUAGUAAUCGUAGAUCAGCAUGCUACGGUGAAUACGUUCCCGGGUCU
rnacentral:rRNA from 1 species